GCGCGGAUCUCAUGGGUGGACACACGUCCCAGAUGAUGACCUGCUGCCGUACGUCGCUGUGGUAGCAGUAAAACCGGCAUUGAUUGUGCAAUCGCCCUUGAUCCGAUCGACCAGGUCUCCAAGUCUACAAGUACUACAGCCUUGAUCAAGUUGCGACAGCUAGCGAUCGACGGUCCGUCAACUCCGGCGACGGCGGCGGCGUCCAGCUUAACUACGACGACUUGGCUCGGCAGCAGCAUUCGUGCAUGCAUCUCAGCCGGGACUGACGGACGCCCUCUCGCGCGCGGCCAGGAAAAUCAAAGGGGACCACGACACGAAUCUCCGGUCGAUCGGCAACGUUCCAACGCGCAACGCGAUGGUUUGUGCGCGCAGAGUCGCGGAUUCCUCCUCGCCCCGUUAAUUGGCGGGAAAACGACGCCCGCGGGCGCGUGUAAACGUGCGACCCGGCGCGCGCUCCAGCUCGCGUCGCGGGUCCCGCGCGCUCUCUCCGGCUCCGGUUCACUACAUGCAUGCCCCGGGAACACAAUCAUGGUUGGUGGUGUCCGUGCGUGCUUCCAUCGAUCCACCGAUCAAGCGAGCGUGAUCUCGUCGCCUCCCGUCUUGUUGGAGUCUAUCGAUUGUUAAUGUAGUCCAAAUCCCACUUAAAUAUUUGGUAGGCCGUCCUGUUAUUGACCGGCCAUACGAUUUUAACUCAGUGGAAUGUCUUAACGGAUCUUAAAUAUUCGAGUUAAUCGAC
rnacentral:lncRNA from 1 species